UCAACAACGGAUCUCUUGGUUCUGGCAUCGAUGAAGAACGCAGCGAAAUGCGAUAAGUAAUGUGAAUUGCAGAAUUCCGUGAAUCAUCGAAUCUUUGAACGCACAUUGCGCCCUUUGGUAUUCCGAAGGGCAUGCCUGUUCGAGCGUCAUUGCAACCC
rnacentral:rRNA from 2 species